AAGUUAUCACAGGGGCGCCCUUGGGCUGAGAUGCACCCUUUGAACCUGAUCCAGAUUAUACUGGCGUAGGGAGUGUAUAGCGAUAACGG
rfam:Psychrobacter sp. PRwf-1, complete genome.